UAUCUCUGUAGAGUCUGCAUAUCAAUAAGCGGAGGAAAAGAAACUAACAAGGAUUCCCUUAGUAACGGCGAGUGAAGCGGGAAGAGCUCAAAUUUGAAAUCUUCAAGGUUUUACCUUGACGAAUUGUAGUUUAAAGAAGUGUUUUCUGUUGAAGUUUCGGUAAAAGUUCUUUGGAAAUAGGACAUCAUAGAGGGUGAGAAUCCCGUAUUUGACCAGUUAUUUUCCAGCUGUGUGAUACACUUUCAAAGAGUCGGAUUGUUUGGGAAUGCAGUCCAAAAUGGGUGGUAAAUUUCAUCUAAAGCUAAAUACUGGCGAGAGACCGAUAGCGAACAAGUACCGUGAGGGAAAGAUGAAAAGAACUUUGAAAAGAGAGUUAAACAGUACGUGAAAUUGUCAAAAGGGAAGCGUUUGACACCAGUGUUGUUUUCUCGAAAAUCAAUUAAAAAAUGGAUUGGAUUUUGUGUUGUAUUGACCUUUAUCAAGCUUUCUGCACUCUUUUUCAUUGUCUUUUUUAAUGCACUUUUCGUUUAACAAGUCAACAUCAGUUUCUUUUGUUGUAAAAAGGGUCAUUGGAAGGUGGCUUUCUUUUCGGAGAAAGUGUUUAUAGCCUUUGGACUUCCUGCAAUCGGAGAGAUUGAGGUCUGCAGCGUAGAUCCUUCUGGGAUUAGAUACAUUUGUGCUAAGUUAUAGCCUUUUCAUAGACAACUUGUUGACUAUGAUUCAGUCAUGUAGCUUACUCGCUUAUGCAUAUUUUACCUACGCUUAGGAUGUUGAACGCGCACAGAGUCUC
rnacentral:rRNA from 1 species